ensembl:rRNA 5S_rRNA 5S ribosomal RNA
UUCUCUGGACACACAACCCUGAACGUGCCCCAUCUCAUCUGAUCUCGGAAGCUAAGCAGGGUAGGACCUGUUUGGUAUUUAGAUGGGAGACCGCCUGGGAAUACCAGGUGCUGUAGUUA